UACGUAGGGUGCAAGCGUUAAUCGGAAUUACUGGGCGUAAAGCGUGCGCAGGCGGCUUUGCAAGACAGAUGUGAAAUCCCCGGGCUUAACCUGGGAACUGCAUUUGUGACUGCAUGGCUGGAGUGUGGCAGAGGGGGAUGGAAUUCCGCGUGUAGCAGUGAAAUGCGUAGAUAUGCGGAGGAACACCGAUGGCGAAGGCAGUCCCCUGGGCCUGCACUGACGCUCAUGCACGAAAGCGUGGGGAGCAAACAGG
rnacentral:rRNA from 1 species